UACGAAGGGUGCAAGCGUUACUCGGAAUUACUGGGCGUAAAGGGUGCGUAGGUGGUUGUUUAAGUCUGCUGUGAAAGCCCCGGGCUCAACCUGGGAAUGGCAGUGGAUACUGGACAGCUAGAGUGCGGUAGAGGGUAGUGGAAUUCCCGGUGUAGCAGUGAAAUGCGUAGAGAUCGGGAGGAACACCAGCGGCGAAGGCGGCUACCUGGACCAGCACUGACACUGAAGCACGAAAGCGUGGGGAGCAAACAGG
rnacentral:rRNA from 1 species